GACCUCGUGGCGCAACGGUGGGCGCGCGCUGACUCCAGAUCGUGGUGGUGCGUGUUCAAAUCACGUCGUCGAUU